rnacentral:rRNA from 1 species
AGCGGAACCAACAGAUUUACUUCGGUAAUGACGUUGGGAAAGCGAGCGGCGGAUGGGUGAGUAACACGUGGGGAACCUGCCCCUAAGUCUGGGAUACCAUUUGGAAACAGGUGCUAGUACCGGAUAAUAAAGCAGAUCGCAUGAUCAGCUUUUGAAAGGCGGCGUAAGCUGUCGCUAAGGGAUGGCCCCGCGGUGCAUUAGCUAGUUGGUAAGGUAACGGCUUACCAAGGCGACGAUGCAUAGCCGAGUUGAGAGACUGAUCGGCCACAUUGGGACUGAGACACGGCCCAAACUCCUACGGGAGGCAGCAGUAGGGAAUCUUCCACAAUGGACGCAAGUCUGAUGGAGCAACGCCGCGUGAGUGAAGAAGGUUUUCGGAUCGUAAAGCUCUGUUGUUGGUGAAGAAGGAUAGAGGUAGUAACUGGCCUUUAUUUGACGGUAAUCAACCAGAAAGUCACGGCUAACUACGUGCCAGCAGCCGCGGUAAUACGUAGGUGGCAAGCGUUGUCCGGAUUUAUUGGGCGUAAAGCGAGCGCAGGCGGAAAAAUAAGUCUAAUGUGAAAGCCCUCGGCUUAACCGAGGAACUGCAUCGGAAACUGUUUUUCUUGAGUGCAGAAGAGGAGAGUGGAACUCCAUGUGUAGCGGUGGAAUGCGUAGAUAUAUGGAAGAACACCAGUGGCGAAGGCGGCUCUCUGGUCUGCAACUGACGCUGAGGCUCGAAAGCAUGGGUAGCGAACAGGAUUAGAUACCCUGGUAGUCCAUGCCGUAAACGAUGAGUGCUAAGUGUUGGGAGGUUUCCGCCUUUCAGUGCUGCAGCUAACGCAUUAAGCACU